rnacentral:rRNA from 1 species
UACGGAGGGUGCGAGCGUUGUCCGGAAUCACUGGGCGUAAAGGGCGCGUAGGCGGCUGUGUAAGUCACUUGUGAAAUCCCGGGGCUCAACUCCGGGGCUGCAGGUGAGACUGCAUGGCUAGAGCACGGUAGAGGCAAGUGGAAUUCCCGGUGUAGCGGUGGAAUGCGUAGAUAUCAGGAGGAACACCGGUGGCGAAGGCGGGUCUCUGGGCAGUAACUGACGCUGAGGAGCGAAAGCGUGGGGAGCGAACAGG